rnacentral:rRNA from 1 species
CCCUUAGAUGUUCUGGGCCGCACGCGUGCUACACUGAGCGGAUCAGCGGGUCAGGUUGCGCGAAAGCGUUUCCUAAUCUUUAAAUCCGCUCGUGAUGGGGAUUGACGGUUGCAAUUUUCUGUCAUGAACGAGGAAUACCUUGUAAGCGCGGGUCAUCAUCCCGCGCUGAAUACGUCCCUGCCCUUUGUACACACCGCCCGUCGCUCCUACCGAUUGAGUGGUCCGGUGAGGCUUUGGGAUCUGAGCGGAAAGAGCGUUUCGCUGUUUCUGCUCGGAAAACUCAGUCGAACCUUAUCAUUUAGAGGAAGGAGAAGUCGUAACA